AUUGAACGCUGGCGGCAUGCUUUACACAUGCAAGUCGAACGGCAGCGCGGGCUUCGGCCUGGCGGCGAGUGGCGAACGGGUGAGUAAUGCAUCGGAACGUGCCCAGUAGUGGGGGAUAGCCCGGCGAAAGCCGGAUUAAUACCGCAUACGACCUGAGGGUGUAAGCGGGGGACCGAAAGGCCUCGCGCUAUUGGAGCGGCCGAUGUCGGAUUAGCUAGUUGGUGGGGUAAAGGCUUACCAAGGCGACGAUCCGUAGCUGGUCUGAGAGGACGACCAGCCACACUGGGACUGAGACACGGCCCAGACUCCUACGGGAGGCAGCAGUGGGGAAUUUUGGACAAAGGGGGCAACCCUGAUCCAGCCAUGCCGCGUGCGGGAAGAAGGCCUUCGGGUUGUAAACCGCUUUUGUUCGGGAAGAAAUCCUCUGGGCUAAUACCCCGGGGGGAUGACGGUACCGGAAGAAUAAGCACCGGCUAACUACGUG
rnacentral:rRNA from 1 species